AUACGUAGGGGGCGAGCGUUGUCCGGAAUUACUGGGCGUAAAGGGCGCGUAGGCGGCCCGGUAAGUCUGGAGUGAAAGUCCUGUUUUUAAGAUGGGAAUUGCUUUGGAUACUGUCGGGCUUGAGUGCAGGAGAGGUAAGUGGAAUUCCCAGUGUAGCGGUGAAAUGCGUAGAGAUUGGGAGGAACACCAGUGGCGAAGGCGACUUACUGGACUGUAACUGACGCUGAGGCGCGAAAGUGUGGGGAGCAAACAGGAUUAGAUACCCUGGUAGUCCACACUGUAAACGAUGAAUGCUAGGUGUAGGGGGUAUCGACCCCUUCUGUGCCGCAGUCAACACAAUAAGCAUUCCGCCUGGGGAGUACGGCCGCAAGGUUGAAACUCAAAGGAAUUGACGGG
rnacentral:rRNA from 1 species